rnacentral:rRNA from 1 species
UGAGUAACGCGUGGGUAAUCUACCUCGUAGUUCGGGAUAACAGGCCGAAAGGCUUGCUAAUACCGGAUGAGUUCAUGCUUAUGCAUAUAGGCAUGAAGAAAGGGCUAGCCCGCUAUGAGAUGAGCCCGCGUCCCAUUAGCUUGUUGGUGGGGUAAUGGCCUACCAAGGCAACGAUGGGUAGCCGGCCUGAGAGGGUGUACGGCCACACUGGGACUGAGACACGGCCCAGACUCCUACGGGGGGCAGCAGUAGGGAAUUUUCGGCAAUGGGCGAAAGCCUGACCGAGCGACGCCGCGUGAGGGACGAAGGCCUUCGGGUUGUAAACCUCUGUCUGGGGGGAUGAGAACGGACGGUACCCCCGGAGGAAGCCCCGGCUAACUACGUGCCAGCAGCCGCGGUAAUACGUAGGGGGCUAGCGUUGUCCGGAAUUACUGGGCGUAAAGGGCGUGUAGGCGGUCGUGCAAGUCGGUUGUGAA